GUGAGGAAUAUUGGUCAAUGGAGGCAACUCUGAACCAGCCAAGUCGCGUGAAGGAUGAAGGUCUUAUGGAUUGUAAACUUCUUUUGCAAGGGAAUAAAGUGGGGGACGUGUCCUCCUUUGCAUGUACCUUGCGAAUAAGGAUCGGCUAACUCCGUGCCAGCAGCCGCGGUAAUACGGAGGAUCCGAGCGUUAUCCGGAUUUAUUGGGUUUAAAGGGUGCGCAGGCGGGAUGUUAAGUCGGCGGUGAAAUUUUGCAGCUCAACUGUAAAAGUGCCUUCGAUACUGGCUUUCUUGAGUGUGGAUGAAGUAGGCGGAAUUUGUGGUGUAGCGGUGAAAUGCUUAGAUAUCACGAGGAACUCCGAUUGCGCAGGCAGCUUACUAAACCACUACUGACGCUCAUGCACGAAGGCGUGGGGAUCAAACAGGAUUAGAAACCCGAGUAGUCC
rnacentral:rRNA from 1 species